GUGGGGAAUAUUGGACAAUGGGCGAAAGCCUGAUCCAGCCAUGCCGCGUGUGUGAAGAAGGUCUUCGGAUUGUAUAGCACUUUAAGUUGGGAGGAAGGGCAGUAAGUUAAUACCUUGCUGUUUUGACGUUACCGACAGAAUAAGCACCGGCUAACUUCGUGCCAGCAGCCGCGGUAAUACGAAGGGUGCAAGCGUUAAUCGGAAUUACUGGGCGUAAAGCGCGCGUAGGUGGUUUUGUAAGUUGGAGGUGAAAUCCCCGGGCUCAACCUGGGAACUGCCUCCAAAACUGCAUGACUAGAGUACGGUAGAGGGUAGUGGAAUUUCCUGUGUAGCGGUGAAAUGCGUAGAUAUAGGAAGGAACACCAGUGGCGAAGGCGACUACCUGGACUGAUACUGACACUGAGGUGCGAAAGCGUGGGGAGCAAACAGGAUUAGAUACCCGGGUAGUCC
rnacentral:rRNA from 1 species